UGCGGGCCAGACGCAAUCGAACGCGGAC
rnacentral:piRNA from 1 species